UUGAACGUUAUUGAAAUAACUACAAAAGAUUUAGAAUAUUACAUAAACUUAGUUGAUAAAGCAGUGGCAGGAUUUGAGAGGAUUGACUCCAAUUUUGAAAGUUCUACUGUAGGUAAAAUGCUGUCAAACAGCAUUGCAUGCUACAGAGAAAUAUUUUGAGAGGAAGAGUCAAUAGAUUUAGCAACCACCACCCUAAUCCACAAUAUAGUCAAAAAUAAACAAAGACAGAGGAAUAUGUAAAAACUAGUUGGUAAGAGUUAAACACUAGAUAUAAUCAGGACUUGAAGAAUUACGAUUUUCAUACUCCCCUAAAUCUUAUUGUACUCUGACCUAAUGUCCAUUCACCAACUUUUAUGUGAACUAUCCCGAUUAGUAGUCAAACUGAAACCUAAAUAAUCAUUUCAACUGAAAAUCUUUGCUUCCAUCACAUUCCCUGUGAAAUGUAAAGUUUGAAACUAGUCUCAGUAUUGUGAAGAACUCUAUAAAGACUCAAAAAAUCAUGUGUUUUACUGUGUGAUACCCACAUGCAACAGUGAGGGGGUGAUGACUCAGAAAACCAAGUCCUUUGAUGGAGUAUGAACUUAUGCUUAGAUAAGAACAAUUCAGGUCAGGAUUAAAAUUCAUGUGGUAAUGAGAACUUCAGUGUUCACUUCUCCCAUUCUCAUUACAUACUGUUACCCUCCUUUCUAAAGCAUUUUCUUUACAACAUUCUUUUCCACUGGAAACAAUUUCUUUGUUGGAGCCAAAUGUCUAAUUUAUUUAAACGUUUAACACAUUACCCCAUUUUAAAGUACCUUGAGAGAGUGAGAUGUUAAAGCCUAGAAAUUGAGAGCAAAGUAGAAAAUCCAAAUUAAACAAUCUGUUUAAGCCCAGUAGAUUUAUAUAUCUUUCUUUCAAAUCUUUCUGGACUAUUUUCUUUGAAUAUAAAGCUCUUCAAACAUCCACAAAUCUUACCUUCCACUAUCUCAAUAUCUGUUAGAAAUA
rnacentral:lncRNA from 1 species